rnacentral:siRNA from 1 species
UGCGGUUUUGGGUGCGGUUU